rnacentral:lncRNA from 8 species
AUGGCUUACAUUGGAUUCCUUCUCCUUGCCAUCCUGUUUUUAUCACACGUCCACGCGCAAAAUGCUAGCACACAGUCCCCUGCCAUGAAUGCUACGAUCAAAGCUGGCGACGUGAGUUCUAACAUGACCAAGAUGCCCGAUGUCGCCAAGAACAACACCAUUCCUAAAGGAGCCAGUGCGUCCUUGCAGUCCAGCGCGGUCACGCUCCUCAUCCAUAUUGCUGUGGUGGGUUCGCUCAUACAGGGCCGUUUCUAGAGGGCACAUGUGCACUGAAAACACAGCCACGAUGUUUUACAAAACACUCUUUAAAAAAUCGUUGCGGGCGGUCAUGUGAGCGAAUUGGGAGGUUCAAGUACCGGACGAGAUCACCUUUCUACUUCACGGAUGGGAAUUCGUAUUUGCGCUCACACCUUCCCCGGGCGCUUCAAACCAGUAGGCCUACCCAUUCCGUGGACACUGGCCCCAAGCACAUAUGUCUUAACGUGUGGUCCGCUCUGGAGGCCGGCCAUGAGGAUGUACGAAACUCCUGACUUGUUUGGUUCUUGUGCACAGACGACAGGGGUCGUUAGGGAUUGUUUUGCAGUGUACAUUUUUGCUGUGUUAGGGAAACCAACUAAAGGGGAAAAUGUUGGUUGACGCUUACAUAUCCAUUCGUCUGACCUGUUGCAUGUGUCCAUACAGUGGUAUUUCUAUUCCUGCAACUGCAAAGUAUACUUUGUCAGAGGGUUGAUAUACACUUGGUGAUUUUAGUUGAUGAGUAUCACAUUUUAUAUUGUAAAUUUAUCAUGAAAUGUAACUGUUGCAGCCUAAUAUAUAGAUUGUUCAAUAAAGUAUUAAUAUGCACUUGUGACAAGGUAUGUUUCCACUUUCUCAUAGGCUACAAUAACAUUUGAAAUGAGCAUAGUCCUUAGUAUUUUAAAGCUUGACAUGCCAACUAAUUGGCUGUCACUUUAGUCUCCAGACCCUACAUAUCUAGGGUUUUCAAAGUUGACUGUUUUGACUUCCCACAAUUAGUCCUUCACCAUGGGCUCUUAUGUUUGCCUUUUGGGCAGGUUUUCAGCCAUUAAUUACACGUGACUCGCUUAAUUGGGUAGCCUUCUGUGCCCUGCUAGCCUAGCUCAACUUUCAGUUUCUGUACUUGACCCCUUUCUGCUGUCACUUGUUUCACUAUGGCGGGAGCAUAACUGUGGGGGUACGGUGUUUCAUAUCAGAUAAUUCCACUUUGCAACAACUUAGACAAAGUUACACCUAAUUCUCCGCUACUCAAAUCUGGCGUUUGAACAAAAUGUAUUAACAGCAUCAAUCUAAAAUUUUUGCAAACCGCUGUUUUGACCACUACAUACUAAAUAUGCAUCUCUGCUAAAAUAUUGAGAAUGUGACUCAGAACAUUUAAUCGCUUGCUUUUCUAAAGUCUGGCAGGCAUACCAACUAAAAUAGACAAGCUACUCUAACUUGAUAGCCUAAAAUGUCUUGGUAGCUAGUUAUGAGGUAUUUUAUUAGCUGUUGCAAAAGCAGCAGCUUCUCUUCCUGGGGUCCACACAAAACAUGAGAUUAAUACAAGGACAGAAGUAAAAUGUUAAAGGCACACGUAGCCUACACAUCAAGACGUACACAAAAACUAUCUAGAUCAAAUAGGGGAGAGGUUAUGAAAUGUUUUUUUUUUUAAACCAUGUUUGUUCAUUUGAUCAAUAUGAGAUGAAACGGAGUUCCAUGCAAUAAUGGCUCUAUAUAAUACUGUACGCUUUCUUGAAUUUGUUCUAAAUUUGAGGUUGGUGAAAAUUGUCACGACUCACUAGAGUGAAGUUAGGCGCAGGAGACCAUGUAUAUAGAGUAGGGUGAUUAUUUGCCUAGUUCCACAAAAAUCCUUUAGGGAAAAACAACCCAGACAAAAAAUGUCCAACUCAAAAUAGUUUGAGUGCAGUCCAGUAAAUGAAACAAACGUCCUCUACAUAAAAUAAAUGUAGAAAACAAAAACACCCCACAUAAACCCCACGACAAGCAACAAACAAUCCCGCACAAAAACCUAAACCCAGACAGCAAGACUAAAUACCCGACUAAUUACUAAACUCAAAACAGGUGUAACACAAAACCAAAGGAAAAGAGGAUCGGUGGCAGCAAGUAGGCUGGCAACGCCGAGUGCCGCCAGAACGGGGAUAGGAGCCGACUUCCGUGACAAAAAUACCCCUGGAGGCAUGUUUUGGGGUUGGGGGGGGUCAGAGCUGUAUGUAAGUUGACUAUGCAAACAAUUAGGAAUUUUCAACACAAUGUUUCUUAUAAAAAUAAGUGAGGUAGUCAGUCUCAAGUCUUAUCCAAGAGAGACUGGCAUGCGUAGUAUUUAUAUCAGCCCUCUGAUUACAAUGAAGAGCAAGACGUGCCACUCAGUUCUGGGCCAGCUGCAGCUUAACUAGGUCUUUCCUUGAAGCACUCGACCACACGACUGGACAAUAAUCAAGAUAAGACAAAACUAGAACAUGCAGGACUUGCUUUUUGGAGGGUGGUGUCAAAGAAGCAGAGCAUCUCUUUAUCACGGACAUACCUCUCCCCGUCUUUACAACCAUUGAAUCUAUAUGUUUUGACCAUGACAGUUUACAAUCUAAGGUAACACUAAGUAAUUUAGUCUGCUCAACUUGUUCAACAGGCACACCAUUCAUUACCAGAUUAAGCUGGGGUCUAGAAUUUAGGGAAUGAUUUAUACCAAAUACAAUGCUCUUAUUUGUUCAGGACCAGUUAAUUAUUGGCCACCCAUUCAUAAACAGACUGCAACUCUAAGGGUUUCAGUGACUUCAACAGCUGUGGUUGCUGAUGUGUAUAUAGUUGAAUUUAUUUUUUAUUUGACCUUUUUAACUAGGCAAGUCAGUUAAGAACUGAAUCAUCAGCAUACAUGGACAUAUAUGCUUUGUUUAAUGCCAGUGGCAGGUCAUUAGUAAAAAUAGAGAAGAGUACAGGGCCUAGAGAGCUGCCC